rnacentral:rRNA from 1 species
AGCAGUAGCCGCGGGAAUACAGAGGGUGCGAGCGUUAAUCGGAUUUACUGGGCGUAAAGCGUGCGUAGGCGGCUUUUUAAGUCGGAUGUGAAAUCCCUGAGCUUAACUUAGGAAUUGCAUUCGAUACUGGGAAGCUAGAGUAUGGGAGAGGAUGGUAGAAUUCCAGGUGUAGCGGUGAAAUGCGUAGAGAUCUGGAGGAAUACCGAUGGCGAAGGCAGCCAUCUGGCCUAAUACUGACGCUGAGGUACGAAAGCAUGGGGAGCAAACAGGAUUAGAUACCCCGGUAGUCCCUGUCUCUUAUCU